AAUGAACGCUGGCGGCAUGCCUAACACAUGCAAGUCGAACGAAGGCUUCGGCCUUAGUGGCGCACGGGUGCGUAACGCGUGGGAAUCUGCCCUUGGGUUCGGAAUAACAGUUAGAAAUGACUGCUAAUACCGGAUGAUGUCGUAAGACCAAAGAUUUAUCGCCCAAGGAUGAGCCCGCGUAGGAUUAGCUAGUUGGCGGGGUAAAGGCCCACCAAGGCGACGAUCCUUAGCUGGUCUGAGAGGAUGAUCAGCCACACUGGGACUGAGACACGGCCCAGACUCCUACGGGAGGCAGCAGUGGGGAAUAUUGGACAAUGGGCGAAAGCCUGAUCCAGCAAUGCCGCGUGAGUGAUGAAGGCCUUAGGGUUGUAAAGCUCUUUUACCCGGGAUGAUAAUGACAGUACCGGGAGAAUAAGCUCCGGCUAACUUCGUGCCAGCCGCCGCCGCUG
rnacentral:rRNA from 1 species